CCUGGGUCCCCAGGGCGCAGGCGCAGAACGUCUGGGCCGGAAGAUGGGAGGGUGUGUCUGGAGUUCUGGUCGCCGGCUGCUGGAAGCACCUCCCUGGCCGUGUAAUGCCUGAUGCGAGGAGACUGAGAGGACAGGGACGAGUUCCCCGAAGAGGGUGGGCAGGAGUAACGGACACAAAAAUGGAGACUAGAGAACCAGUAACCAUCUUGUGAUAACAUAUCAACUCUACUAUCAGAAGCCAUUUGUCAAGAGACCCAAUAGAAAUAUGGAAAGCCUCUGAGUAUCUAAUGAGCUUCCUACCAGCCCAGGUCACCUAACAAUGUCCUUCUCUCUGAUGGGGAAAAAAUGACCCUACUUCUUGUUUAAUCCAUCAAACUUAUUACAUUACUUUGAGUCUUACUAGCAGCUGAAAGUAAUUCCUCCUAUUACCAGCUGGCCUCAGAGGCUUCACAAGUGCUUCUCCUAGCAGUCCAAGAAGUCAUCAUCCUCAGGGGCAUAGGAAAAUCCCAGGAAUGCACUUGAGGCCCCUGAGCUGCUAGCCAUAGUAUCAGGGGUGCAGCCAAUAGACUUGGAGACUGCUUCUUGGGUGAACUCUGGGUCAAAGUGUUUCAAGUCAGCAGGUCCUGCCUGUCAACAGAAGCCAAUGAUGAGGAGAGGGCAUUGGGAUCAGAGCUGCCAAAGGAACCGAAAGCCCAGGAGAGGGAUGCCAAACCUCCCCUCAGUACCUCUUGGUGAUCCACACUUAACUGUCACUUUCCCAUGCAUCUCCAUUAAUCAUCUUAUUCCACGUGGCUGAUUUCUCUUACCCCAAGGCACCCUGCCUGCUCUACACCAAUCCUCAGACAAGUCUGUCAGUCAACCUAUAUUCACUGAAUGCUUGCCAGGCAUUGUUUAUGACACUGGAAAUAUGGGAGAACAAAAUAGAGUGAGCCUCUGCUUAUAGGAGCUUGCAGUAUGUGGAGGGUAGGAGGAUUGAACAAAGCAUUUAUAUAAGUAGAACGUUCAGGGUCCUAGAUGGAGGAGGUAAAAGAGGGUAAUAUGGUAGAGAGGGACUGGGGCUGCUCUAACUAUUUUGCAGGAAGAGCCAUUUGAGUAAUUGUAAAAAUGAUCACAAAUUCUCCAUUUACCAUCCAGAGGUGGAGGUUCUCUAUCUUUUAAAUAUGGGUUAGCCACGUGACUUGCUCAUGCCAAUGGAACACUGACAAAUGAUUGGAGUGGAGGCUUGAAAAAAUGUGCCUUGGGAAUCAAGGUGAGAGGCUGUAGGAAGGAGAACCCAGGUGCCCUGGCAGCCUGCCAACUCCCAGACACACGAGGCAGUUCUAGAUCAAUUGACUGCUGACCACAGAUAUGAGAGAGCUCUACAGAGAACAACUGGCCUGGCCCAGAUUUAAAAAACACUAGUCAACCCAUGGAAUAUGAACAAGAAAAAAUAUUGUUGUUUAGGACUGGGGGUAUAGCUCAGUGGUAGAGCACUUUCUUGGUAUGUGUGAGGCCCUGGGUUCAAGCUCCAGCACCCCAUAAGAAAAGAUUAUUAUUUGAAGACACCUACUUUGGGAGUGACUUGUUAUGCAGUUAGAACUAACAAAUGCAGUCUUUCUGCAGAGGUGACCCAGUCAGAGGAGAAGAUAACACCCUCUGGAUGUUAUGAAGUAAGCAGGUGAGCAAGUAGAGGGGUCUGUAGAUCUACUUUCACGUGUAAGUCUUGGGCUCUGCAAACAAACAUGCCAUAACUUCCAACUUCUCAAAAAGGUCACAGGCCAUGUGCUGUGGCACAUACCUAUAAUCCCAGCUACUUGGGAGGCUGAGGCAGGGAAUCAAGUUCAAGGGCAGCCUGGGCAAAUUAGCAAGACCCUGUCUC